rnacentral:rRNA from 1 species
AACGAACGCUGGCGGCGUGGAUAAGACAUGCAAGUCGGACGGGGCGCUGGGGAUAGCAAUAUUUCCGGUGCCCAGUGGCGCAAGGGUGAGUAACACGUGGGCAAUCUGCCGGGAAGAGUGGGAUAGCUCGCCGAAAGGCGAAUUAAUACCGCAUGUGGCUUGUGGCGGCAUCGCUGCAGGGCCAAAGCCGGGGCAACCUGGCGUUUCCCGAUGAGCCCGCGGCCUAUCAGCUAGUUGGCGGGGUAACGGC